rnacentral:rRNA from 1 species
AGUGAACGCUGGCGGUAGGCCUAACACAUGCAAGUCGAACGGCAGCACAGUAAGAGCUUGCUCUUACGGGUGGCGAGUGGCGGACGGGUGAGGAAUACAUCGGAAUCUACUUUUUCGUGGGGGAUAACGUAGGGAAACUUACGCUAAUACCGCAUACGACCUACGGGUGAAAGCAGGGGAUCUUCGGACCUUGCGCGAUUGAAUGAGCCGAUGUCGGAUUAGCUAGUUGGCGGGGUAAAGGCCCACCAAGGCGACGAUCCGUAGCUCGUCUGAGAGGAUGAUCAGCCACACUAGAACUGAGACACGGUCCAGACUCCUACGGGAGGCAGCAGUGGGGAAUAUUGGACAAUGGGCGCAAGCCUGAUCCAGCCAUACCGCGUGGGUGAAGAAGGCCUUCGGGUUGUAAAGCCCUUUUGUUGGGAAAGAAAAGCAGCAGGUUAAUACCCCGCUGUUCUGACGGUACCCAAAGAAUAAGCACCGGCUAACUUCGUG